UACAAAGGUAUUGUAAUAAGGUUUUAAUUGAAUGCUAAAAGAAUGGAAUUACAGGGAAAAGUUUUUUUAAAUUUAAUAAUUGAAGUUAUUUUAAUUUGUGAAGAAACAAUUAUAUAAAUUAAAGACAAGAAGACCCUAAGAAUUUAAGAAUUUUUAUUAAUAUAUUAUAUGUAUAUAUAUAUAUAAAUAAAAUUCUUAGUUGGGGCAACUAAAAAAUAUAUUAAACUUUUUUUUAAAAAAAAUGAUCCAUUAUUAAUGAUAAUAUGAAAAAAAUACUCUAGGGAUAACAGCGUAAUAAUUUUUGAUAGAUCUUAUAGACAAAAUAGUUUGCGACCUCGAUGUUGGAUUAGGAUACUUUUUUAAUGAAGAUGUUAAAAAAAGAAGUUUGUUCAACUUUUAAAUUCCUACAU
rnacentral:rRNA from 1 species